rnacentral:rRNA from 1 species
GAAAGACCCCGUGAACCUUUACUAUAGCUUGACACUGAACAUUGAGCCUUGAUGUGUAGGAUAGGUGGGAGGCUUUGAAGCGUGGACGCCAGUCUGCGUGGAGCCGACCUUGAAAUACCACCCUUUAAUGUUUGAUGUUCUAACGUGGACCCGUAAUCCGGGUUGCGGACAGUGUCUGGUGGGUAGUUUGACUGGGGCGGUCUCCUCCUAAAGAGUAACGGAGGAGCACGAAGGUUGGCUAAUCCUGGUCGGACAUCAGGAGGUUAGUGCAAUGGCAUAAGCCAGCUUGACUGCGAGCGUGACGGCGCGAGCAGGUGCGAAAGCAGGUCAUAGUGAUCCGGUGGUUCUGAAUGGAAGGGCCAUCGCUCAACGGAUAAAAGGUACUCCGGGGAUAACAGGCUGAUACCGCCCAAGAGUUCAUAUCGACGGCGGUGUUUGGCACCUCGAUGUCGGCUCAUCACAUCCUGGGGCUGAAGUAGGUCCCAAGGGUAUGGCUGUUCGCCAUUUAAAGUGGUACGCGAGCUGGGUUUAGAACGUCGUGAGACAGUUCGGUCCCUAUCUGCCGUGGGCGCUGGAGAACUGAGGGGGGCUGCUCCUAGUACGAGAGGACCGGAGUGGACGCAUCACUGGUGUUCGGGUUGUCAUGCCAAUGGCACUGCCCGGUAGCUAAAUGCGGAAGAGAUAAGUGCUGAAAGCAUCUAAGCACGAAACUUGCCCCGA